rnacentral:lncRNA from 1 species
CUGACUGCAAAAGGAAGCCAAAACUGACAACAACGUCUCCUUCUCUACGGAGGUUUGUAGAAAGGCUGUACAAAAAUCUCACAAGAUGUAUUUCUUCUCGUGGACUGGAGUCCCAAGGUGCUUAAGAGCUCUUCAAUUUGUUAAUGGAAAGAAACACCAUUUACACCGGAUGGCUACAAAGCAACCUUAUUCUGAGGGAGAUUUGAGACAGGAGAAGAGAAGACACGAAGGAGGGAAGGAAGUGAUGUGACCACAGAGGCAGCGAUUGGAGUGAUGUAGUCACAAGCCAAGGAGCACCAACAGCCACCAGGAGCUGGAAGAGCCCAAGAGUAUAUACUAAUACCUGGAUUUGGGACUUGGGACUUCUGGUCUCUAGAAGUAGGAAAGAAUAAACAUCUGUUUUUUGUU